UACGUCUUGCUUUGCUUUAAGAUGCCAGCCAUAUUGACCUCAGAGUCCAUUUCUCAGACUGCAGCUGGCCAUUCCCUAGGCUGACUUCAGAGUCCCUCAGGAGCUCAGCAGGGAGCUCCAAAGGACGUGCUGCUGCAUCCUGUAACCCCUUCCUGGAAAAAAACAUUUUAGUACACAAGCAGAGAGGAAAACUGGCCUGCAUUGCUGACACCUUGGCCUUCAGAGCACAGGAAACUAUACCCCCAAACUUGCCUGUUUCUUCUCCUGCAUGCCGACAGUGAUACAGGGCAAUACAUCCCACUGCUGUUGAGGUCCUCAAUGUAAAGCAUGAGAGCCCAUCCCUGCCUGGAAACGACCAAGGAGUCUCCCCUCAGUCCCAGUUAAAGCCCGGAUCCAGACAUGACACACAAGCAUCCAUCCUCGCCAGGAGCUGCCACUGUGCUCCUCCCCCUUCUACAUUUCUCCAGCACGACAUCAAUUGAAAUCAUUUCCUCACUGGUUUAUGUCAAUCAGUCAGUCUGCUGGUACCAAGCUGUUAAUUAUCCCAGCUGUUCCUCGGGAACCCAGAAACGUGUCUGCAACCCCAGCCCACAAUGUGUUUCUUGAUAACACAAAGGGAAGUAAAGUAAGUUAAAGUAAGCCAGUUCUGACUGAUCUUUGGACUCCACCAGCUUAACAUUCAGACCGGCUUGUCAAAACAUAUUUCAGCCAGUGGGAGACAUACUGUACUCCUCCAAAUGAUUUAGAUUAACA